GACGAACGCUGGCGGCGUGCUUAACACAUGCAAGUCGAACGGAAAGGCCCUGCUUUUGUGGGGUGCUCGAGUGGCGAACGGGUGAGUAACACGUGAGUAACCUGCCCUUGACUUUGGGAUAACUUCAGGAAACUGGGGCUAAUACCGGAUAGGAGCUCCUGCUGCAUGGUGGGGGUUGGAAAGUUUCGGCGGUUGGGGAUGGACUCGCGGCUUAUCAGCUUGUUGGUGGGGUAGUGGCUUACCAAGGCUUUGACGGGUAGCCGGCCUGAGAGGGUGACCGGCCACAUUGGGACUGAGAUACGGCGCAGACUCCUACGGGAGGCAGUAGGGGGGAAUAUUGCACAAUGGGCGGAAGCCUGAUGCAGCAACGCCGCGUGCGGGAUGACGGCCUUCGGGUUGUAAACCGCUUUCGCCUGUGACGAAGCGUGAGUGACGGUAAUGGGUAAAGAAGCACCGGCUAACUACGUG
rnacentral:rRNA from 1 species